rnacentral:rRNA from 1 species
GAUGAACGCUGGCGGCGUGCCUAAUACAUGCAAGUCGAGCGAACGGACGAGAAGCUUGCUUCUCUGAUGUUAGCGGCGGACGGGUGAGUAACACGUGGAUAACCUACCUAUAAGACUGGGAUAACUUCGGGAAACCGGAGCUAAUACCGGAUAAUAUUUUGAACCGCAUGGUUCAAAAGUGAAAGACGGUCUUGCUGUCACUUAUAGAUGGAUCCGCGCUGCAUUAGCUAGUUGGUAAGGUAACGGCUUACCAAGGCAACGAUGAAUAGCCGACCUGAGAGGGUGAUCGGCCACACGGGAAAUGAGACACGGUCCAGACUCCUACGGGAGGCAGCAGUAGGGAAUCUUCCGCAAUGGGCGAAAGCCUGACGGAGCAACGCCGCGUGAGUGAUGAAGGUCUUCGGAUCGUAAAACUCUGUUAUUAGGGAAGAACAUAUGUGUAAGUAACUGUGCACAUCUUGACGGUACCUAAUCAGAAAGCCACGGCUAACUACGUG